rnacentral:rRNA from 1 species
AGUCGAACGCGCAGCGAAAGGUGCUUGCACCUUUCAAGCGAGUGGCGAACGGGUGAGUAACACGUGGAUAACCUGCCUCAAGGCUGGGGAUAACAUUUGGAAACAGAUGCUAAUACCGAAUAAAACUUAGUAUCGCAUGAUACAAAGUUGAAAGGCGCUACGGCGUCACCUAGAGAUGGGUCCGCGGUGCAUUAGUUAGUUGGUGGGGUAAAGGCCUACCAAGACAAUGAUGCAUAGCCGAGUUGAGAGACUGAUCGGCCACAUUGGGACUGAGACACGGCCCAAACUCCUACGGGAGGCUGCAGUAGGGAAUCUUCCACAAUGGGCGAAAGCCUGAUGGAGCAACGCCGCGUGUGUGAUGAAGGCUUUAGGGUCGUAAAGCACUGUUGUAUGGGAAGAAAUGCUAGAAUAGGGAAUGAUUCUAGUUCGACGGUACCAUACCAGAAAGGGACGGCUAAAUACGUGCCAGCAGCCGCGGUAAUACGUAUGUCCCGAGCGUUAUCCGGAUUUAUUGGGCGUAAAGCGAGCGCAGACGGUUGAUUAAGUCUGAUGUGAAAGCCCGGAGCUCAACUCCGGAAUGGCAUUGGAAACUGGUUAACUUGAGUGUUGUAGAGGUAAGUGGAACUCCAUGUGUAGCGGUGGAAUGCGUAGAUAUAUGGAAGAACACCAGUGGCGAAGGCGGCUUACUGGACAACAACUGACGUUGAGGCUCGAAAGUGUGGGUAGCAAACAGGAUUAGAUACC